UAAAGCAAGAAAGGGCGUAUGGGGAAUGCCUAGGCACACUCCGGCGAAGAAGGACGCAGCAAACAGCGAAAUGCGACGGUGAGCGGUAAGCACGUGAAGAGCCGUCGAUAUCCGAAUGGGGGAACCCACACGGAGUCAUAUCCGUGUAUCACAUGUCGAAUACAUAGACAUGAUGAGGCGAGACGCAGGGAACUGAAACAUCUAAGUACCUGCAGGAAGAGAAAAUAAGAAUGAUUUUCUGAGUAGCGGCGAGCGAAAGGGAAAGAGCCCAAACCGAUUUGAGGAUCGGGGUAGUAGGAUCAUCGAUAAAUCAAACAGAGGAUCAUAGAGGAAUCACAUGGGAAGGUGAGCGAGAGAGGGUGAGAGCCCCGUACUCGAAAUGAGAGACUGGAGAGAGAUGACACCUGAGUAGGGCGGGACACGAGAAAUCCUGUCUGAAUCAGCCGGGACCAUCCGGCAAGGCUAAAUACGAGAGAGUGACCGAUAGUGAACCAGUACCGUGAGGGAAAGGUGAAAAGAACCCCGGGAGGGGAGUGAAAGAGAACCUGAAACCAUAUGCCUACAAGAAGUCAGAGCCCGUUAAAGGGUGAUGGCGUGCCUUUUGUAGAAUGAACCGGCGAGUUACUGUAUGGAGCGAGGUUAAGCAGGAUAUGCGGAGCCGAAGCGAAAGCGAGUCUUAAGAGGGCGCGAGUUGCAUGCAGUAGACCCGAAACCGGGUGAUCUAGCCAUGACCAGGUUGAAGUUGGGGUAAAACCCGAUGGAGGACCGAACCGACCCCCGUUGAAACGUUGGCGGAUGAGUUGUGGCUAGGGGUGAAAUUCCAAUCGAACCCGGAGAUAGCUGGUUCUCCCCGAAAUAGCUUUAGGGCUAGCGUCGAGAGAAGAGUUGCGUGAAGGUAGAGCACUGAAUAUGUGAUGGCCCCAUCUCGGGGUACUGAGCAUAAUCAAACUGCGAAUGUCACGCCAACAUGCUCGGCAGUCAGACAGCGGGUGAUAAGGUCCGUUGUCAAGAGGGAAACAGCCCAGACCAUCAGCUAAGGUCCCAAAAUGUAUGCUAAGUGGAAAAGGAUGUGGAGAUGUACAGACAACUAGGAGGUUGGCUCAGAAGCAGCCAUCCUUUAAAGAGUGCGUAACAGCUCACUAGUCGAAUGACUCUGCGCCGAUAAUUUACCGGGGCUAAGCAUACUACCGAAGCUAUGGAUCCCAAGGGAUGGUAGGGGAGCGUUCCAUGAACGGAGAAGUACGACCGAAAGGACGUGUGGAGAUCAUGGAAGAGAGAAUGCCGGUGUGAGUAGCGGAACGUGGGUGAGAAUCCCACGCACCGAAAACCCAAGGUUUCCAGAGGAAGGUUCGUCCGCUCUGGGUAAGUCGGGACCUAAGGCGAGGCCGAAAGGCGUAGUCGAUGGACAACAGGUAGAGAUUCCUGUACCCGUAUAUAUGUGAAGGAAUGACGGAGAGAGGAAGCUGCAGCCAGCGGCUGGAAGAGCUGGUGCAAGCGAGAUAUCGGGAUGGCAGGCAAAUCCACCAUCCGAAACGAGAAGGCGUGAAGCGUACGGAAAGCUACGGCGAGUACGGAAGGCAGUGGAGGAACUUCCAAGAAAAGUUUCUAACGUUAAGUAUAUAUGGCCCGUACCGAAAAUGGACACACAUGGGUGAGGAGAGAAUCCUAAGGUGAGCGAGAGAACUAUAGCUAAGGAACUCUGCAAAAUGACUCCGUAACUUAGGGAGAAGGAGUGCUCAUAGAGAUAUGAGCCGCAGUGAAACGGCCCAAGCGACUGUUUACCAAAAACACAGCUCUCUGCUAAGCCGCAAGGCGAAGUAUAGGGGGUGACGCCUGCCCGGUGCUGGAAGGUUAAGGGGAGGGGUUAACGCAAGUGAAGCCCUGAACUGAAGCCCCAGUAAACGGCGGCCGUAACUAUAACGGUCCUAAGGUAGCGAAAUUCCUUGUCAGGUAAGUUCUGACCCGCACGAAAGGCGUAACGAUUUGGGCGCUGUCUCAGCUGUAGACUCGGUGAAGUCUUAGUACCUGUGAAGAUGCAGGUUACCCGCGACUAGACGGAAAGACCCCAUGGAGCUUCACUGCAGGUUGAUAUUGGGAUUUGAUGCAGCAUGUACAGGAUAGGUAGGAGGCAAAGAGAUGGAUACGCCAGUAUUCAAGGAGCCGCUGUUGGGAUACUACCCCUGUUGUAUUGGAUUUCUAACCGGACGACGUAGAGCCGUUGACGGGACAGUGUCAGUCGGGCAGUUUGACUGGGGCGGUCGCCUCCCAAAGAGUAACGGAGGCGCCCAAAGAUACCCUCAGCUUGGAUGGAAACCAAGCGCAGAGUGCAAAGGCAAAAGGGUGUUUGACUGCGAGACCCACAAGUCGAGCAGGGACGAAAGUCGGGCUUAGUGAUCCGGCGGUGCUGAAUGGAAAGGCCGUCGCUCAACGGAUAAAAGCUACCCUGGGGAUAACAGGCUGAUCUCCCCCAAGAGUUCACAUCGACGGGGAGGUUUGGCACCUCGAUGUCGGCUCAUCGCAUCCUGGGGCUG
rnacentral:rRNA from 1 species